rnacentral:tRNA from 1 species
AUUAUUUUGGCAGAUUAUAGUGCAUUAAAUUUAGAAUUUAAAUAUAUAUAUAUAUAUAAAA